AACGAACGCUGGCGGCAUGCCUAACACAUGCAAGUCGAACGAGACCUUCGGGUCUAGUGGCGCACGGGUGCGUAACGCGUGGGAAUCUGCCCUUGGGUUCGGGAUAACAGUUGGAAACGACUGCUAAUACCGGAUGACGUCUUCGGACCAAAGAUUUAUCGCCCAGGGAUGAGCCCGCGUCGGAUUAGCUAGUUGGUAGGGGAAAAGCCUACCAAGGCGACGAUCCGUAGCUGGUCUGAGAGGAUGAUCAGCCACACUGGGCCUGAGACACGGCCCAGACUCCUACGGAAGGCAGCAGUGGGGAAUAUUGAACAAUGGGCGAAAGCCUGAUCCAGCAAUGCCGCAUGAGUGAUGAAGGCCUUAGGGUUGUAAAGCUCUUUUACCCGGGAUGAUAAUGACAGUACCGGGAGAAUAAGCCCCGGCUAACUCCGUGCAGCCGCCGCAGUAA
rnacentral:rRNA from 1 species